GAUGAAGAACGUAGCGAAAUGCGAUAAGUAAUGCGAAUUGCAGAAUUCAGUGAGUCAUCGAAUCUUUGAACGCACAUUGCGCCCCCUGGUAUUCCGGGGGGCAUGCCUGUUCGAGCGUCAUUUCACCACUCAAGCCUCGCUUGGUAUUGGGCAUCGCGGUCCGCCGCGCGCCUCAAAUCGACCGGCUGGGUCUUCUGUCCCCUAAGCGUUGUGGAAACUAUUCGCUAAAGGGUGUUCGGGAGGCUACGCCGUAAAACAACCCCAUUUCUAAGGUUGACCUCGGAUCAGGUAGGGAUACCCGCUGAACUUAAGCAUAUCAAUAAGCGAGGA
rnacentral:misc_RNA from 1 species